rnacentral:rRNA from 1 species
UGUGGGCCCUAAAAAUGGCAAGUCGAGCGGACCGACGGGAGCUUGCUCCCUUAGGUCAGCGGCGGACGGGUGAGUAACACGUGGGUAACCUGCCUGUAAGACUGGGAUAACUCCGGGAAACCGGGGCUAAUACCGGAUGCUUGAUUGAACCGCAUGGUUCAAUCAUAAAAGGUGGCUUUUAGCUACCACUUGCAGAUGGACCCGCGGCGCAUUAGCUAGUUGGUGAGGUAACGGCUCACCAAGGCGACGAUGCGUAACCGACCUGAGAGGGUGAUCGGCCACACUGGGACUGAAACACGGCCCAGACUCCUACGGGAGGCAGCAGUAGGGAAUCUUCCGCAAUGGACGAAAGUCUGACGGAGCAACGCCGCGUGAGUGAUGAAGGUUUUCGGAUCGUAAAACUCUGUUGUUAGGGAAGAACAAGUACCGUUCGAAUAGGGCGGUACCUUGACGGUACCUAACCAGAAAGCCACGGCUAACUACGUGCCAGCAGCCGCGGUAAUACGUAAGUGGCAAGCGUUGUCCGGAAUUAUUGGGCGUAAAGCGCGCGCAGGCGGUUUCUUAAGUCUGAUGUGAAAGCCCCCGGCUCAACCGGGGAGGGUCAUUGGAAACUGGGGAACUUGAGUGCAGAAGAGGAGAGUGGAAUUCCACGUGUAGCGGUGAAAUGCGUAGAGAUGUGGAGGAACACCAGUGGCGAAGGCGACUCUCUGGUCUGUAACUGACGCUGAGGCGCGAAAGCGUGGGGAGCGAACAGGAUUAGAUACCCUGGUAGUCCACGCCGUAAACGAUGAGUGCUAAGUGUUAGAGGGUUUCCGCCCUUUAGUGCUGCAGCAAACGCAUUAAGCACUCCGCCUGGGGAGUACGGUCGCAAGACUGAAACUCAAAGGAAUUGACGGGGGCCCGCACAAGCGGUGGAGCAUGUGGUUUAAUUCGAAGCAACGCGAAGAACCUUACCAGGUCUUGACAUCCUCUGACAACCCUAGAGAUAGGGCUUCCCCUUCGGGGGCAGAGUGACAGGUGGUGCAUGGUUGUCGUCAGCUCGUGUCGUGAGAUGUUGGGUUAAGUCCCGCAACGAGCGCAACCCUUGAUCUUAGUUGCCAGCAUUCAGUUGGGCACUCUAAGGUGACUGCCGGUGACAAACCGGAGGAAGGUGGGGAUGACGUCAAAUCAUCAUGCCCCUUAUGACCUGGGCUACACACGUGCUACAAUGGGCAGAACAAAGGGCAGCGAAGCCGCGAGGCUAAGCCAAUCCCACAAAUCUGUUCUCAGUUCGGAUCGCAGUCUGCAACUCGACUGCGUGAAGCUGGAAUCGCUAGUAAUCGCGGAUCAGCAUGCCGCGGUGAAUACGUUCCCGGGCCUUGUACACACCGCCCGUCACGGCCACGAGAGUUUGUAACACCCGAAGUCGGUGAGGGUAAACCCCUUUUUUU